UUUAAGCCUAGUGUGGAAGUAAACCGCCCAACCUCCCCAGGACAGGAAUGUAGCAAGGAUAAGCAUAGUUUAUUUGGUACGCUAGGCUUUUUAGA
rnacentral:SRP_RNA from 1 species